UGUUAAGAGAUUUUGUUUAAUGUUUUAUUAAAUAACAUGCUUUCCCUAAAUAGGUUUGCGAAUGUACAAUGAUGUUCAUAUAUUUUAUACUACAUGUAUCUUGUCACUACACAUGCACGUGAGCCUUGCUGACUUCUAAGAAAAUGACUGGCAUAAGGAGGUUGCCACAGGAAACCUCACCUUUGCUGAGUUUGCUGAGUCUGCCGUUGGGAACAGGAACCAACUGGCUUCUGUUUCCCUUAAGAUAGGCUUGACCAGUUCCUUACUGACAGUUGAACGUAUAUGUUUUAUGCUUUGUAAGGAGUGGUAUGUUAUCUCUUCCUACAUGUGUCUGUGACGCAAACAUGCUUGAGUAUAAAUAAAGCUGACUGCAAAGCCUCGGUGUGAGUAUCGCCCGAUCACUCACCCGUGCGCACGUAGUUCUCUGAACAAAACUCUGACUGUUUUGUAUUCCUUCAAUGUGUUUUAUAAUGUCUUACCACUGACAUUUAAUUGGUCCUUCGAGCCGGAUUUAUUGAUUGAUAUUAUUAUAUCAUCUAACUAUUCACAGACGGAGCCGCCGAAUCCUGACGUCGUGACUACCUGCACUGUAAACCACCGCUUCUAGCGAAGCAAGGAAAAGCCCAGAGUCGUAAAUUCGCCUAUUGGCCAGUGUCUUAUACAGGUCCACGACGACAGGACUCGGUGACGCCGGAAAAAAGAACACAGCGCAACAUUGAAGUGUCUUGCAGGUUGAAACCAGGUGAUUGGAUCCUGAUUAAAGUACUCCAAAGAAGGAACUGGAGCUCACCAAAGUGGGAGAGUCCUUAUCAAGUCCUAAUCACCACACCAACUGCCUGUAAAAUAGCAGAAAGACCAUCCUGGAUUCAUCAAA